AGUGAACGCUGGCGGCAGGCCUAACACAUGCAAGUCGAACGAACCUUUCGGGGUUAGUGGCGGAUGGGUGCGUAACACGUGGGAACGUGCCUUUAGGUUCGGAAUAACUCAGGGAAACUUGUGCUAAUACCGAAUGUGCCCUUCGGGGGAAAGAUUUAUCGCCUUUAGAGCGGCCCGCGUCUGAUUAGCUAGUUGGUUGAGGUAAUGGCUCACCAAGGCGACGAUCAGUAGCUGGUCUGAGAGGAUGAUCAGCCACAUUGGGACUGAGACACGGCCCAAACUCCUACGGGAGGCAGCAGUGGGGAAUCUUGCGCAAUGGGCGAAAGCCUGACGCAGCCAUGCCGCGUGAAUGAUGAAGGUCUUAGGAUUGUAAAAUUCUUUCACCGGGGACGAUAAUGACGGUACCCGGAGAAGAAGCCCCGGCUAACUUCGUG
rnacentral:rRNA from 1 species